CGUAGAGAGUUAUAACGAAGCUUCGUUAUAUGGGAACCCGAAAUUAGUAUUACAAAUACAGAAUGAGGAUUUUAUAAUAAUUACAUCACAACUUUACAACUUAUUAUUCCCUACAUCCCUAUUUCAUACCUACUUCAUCAAGAAGGCAAACCAAACGUGUACUAGGUGUGUGCAGAAUAGCUUUACAGCAAUUUUACCACCUAGAGAGUUUUUUUUAAGCCACCCUACGACAGCACCAUCCACUCCACCAAACUUCCCACCACUCUUUGCUCCCCACCAUCUUCAAUUCUUUAAGACUACUAGUUCCUUCAACCACCAAAGGGAGGAGAAUUCAAUUACUGCUGCCAAACUUCGAACAGCUAUCUCCUCAUUAAAUUCAAUAGCAACAAACAGCCACCAACACCAAGCAUAGCAGGUAUAUACUUAGCUCAGCUCCAGUUCAUACAUCAUAUCAUCAAGCAUAUGUUUAAAAAGGAAAUACAUAGUAUACAGGUGUGUAUAUAUAUGCACACAGGGACUUAGCAAUCGAAAUCAGUUUAUGCUAUAUUUUCUUAUCACACGAGGCAAGCAAGGAAAAUUCUUGAUACAUUAGUAAACCACGAACUUAGUUUUAUCUCUUGCAUAAUACAGAAAUCAGUAUAUAUUUUCUUCACUUAAGAUAAAGGCAAUGAGAAAACUCUCAUAAAUCAGUAGCAAAAACCAAGACUCCACAUAGACUUAAGUAUUGAACUUAGCUGUAGAAGGGCUGACUGCCCGACGGGGACGGGGACGACGACGACGGUCGGGACAGGGCGAACUCGUCCAACCUCAUCAGAGCCCCGAACAGCAGCUGCCCGGCGACGAGCUGAGACUCGUGCGCAGCAGCAGCGGUCGCUCGACAGUUGCGUUUUUCCCUUUUCUGAGAACUAGGGCCCAACGACGGAAGGAGCGGUGGUGGCUGGGGCUGCUAUCGCCGGAUUUACAAAACGCCGCGGCGCUGAGCGGGGAGAGAGGGAGAGGCGGUUCAAAAUCGGAGAGGAAAUUAGGGCUUCUGCUGCCCCUUCAUUGGGUUGAGAAGAACAGCCGACGCAGCCACGAACGAGACGCAACCGCUCUGUUCGACCGGUACCGAGCCCGAGCAGCAGCAACUCUAGUCGGCGAUGGCUCCAGAAGACAGCAGCCGUCGGAUUUCAGAAGGGGAGAGAGAGACGGCCACGACCGGCGCCGACCGCUCGCCGGAUUCCAUACGGAGGUGCGGCAGCUGCGAUUUACCAGGAGAAGUUAGGGCUUGAUUUUGAACUCUGCGUGCAGAUUGAGGAAGAGAGAUGACGUCGCCGGUCGAAGCCAACCGAAGCAGAUGACGGCUGGAGUCUCGGCGGCGGACGCCUCGUGUGAAGGCGAGUCGAGAGUGAGAGGGAGAAGAGGCGUGCGGCUGGUUUGAGAGAGGGGAGUGUCGGCUGUGAUUGAGGUAAAGGAGAGAUGGGAGAGAGAGAAGGACCGAGAGUCUAAAGAGAGAGAGUUUGGGCUGCAAUUCUUUUCUUUUGGGCCGAAUUCUUUUAAGCUUGGGCCUUAUUCUUUAUUUUGCUGAUGGGCUCUAAUUGUUUAAAGAAUUUGGGCUUAUUCCUUUUUAAAAUUUUGGGCUGAGAAUUGUUUUAAUGGUUUUGGGCUUCCA